GGUGACAUGGCCAAACGGUAAGGCAAGGGUCUGCAAAACCCUCAUUCCCGGUUCGAUUCCGGGUGUCACCUCCA
rnacentral:tRNA from 1 species